rnacentral:ncRNA from 1 species
AAAAAGUUUUAUUUUAGCUUAGAAUAUUAAUUUAUAAUUUUAAUUAUAUGUAAGUUUUAGCAAGAUAGAUUAAAAAUUUUAAAAAUUUUUAAUUUAAAAAUUUUAUUCGCAGUUUUUAAUUUUUUAUAUUUAAGAAAUUAAGAUAAAGAAAUUUAUUAUAAUAUUAACAAAAUUUGUGCCAGCAGUUGCGGUUAUACAAAUAAUGUAAUUAAUAUUAAUUAAUUUAUAAUUAAAUGAUUUUUUUUAAUUAAUAUUUAAUUUUAUUAAGUGAAAUUUUAAAUUUAAAUUAAUUUAUAAAAAAUAUUUUGAAGUUAUUAAAUUUUUUUUUAAACUAGGAUUAGAUACCCUAUUAUUUUAAAUGUAAAUUUAAAAAAUUAAAUUAUUAAUAGUUAUGUUCUUAAAAAUUAAAAAAUUUGGCGGUAUUUUAGUCUUUUCAGAGGAACCUGUUCUGUAAUUGAUAUUCCACGAUUAGUAAUACUUUUAUUAAUUAAUUUAUAUAUCGUCGUAGUUUGAAUAUUUUAUUAGAAUUAUAAUAUUCAAAAUUUAUUAUUAUAAAAUAAAUCAGAUCAAGGUAUAGUUUAUAUAAAAGAAGAAAUGGGUUACAAUAAAUUUAUUUAAAUGGAUUUAAAAUUUAAAUAUUUUAAUAAAAGUGGAUUUGAAAGUAAUAUAAUUAAUUUAAAUUAUAUGAUUAAAGCUCUAUAAUAUGUACAUAUCGCCCGUCGCUCUCAUAUAAAAUGAGAUAAGUCGUAACAAAGUAGAUGUACUGGAAAGUGUAUCUAGAAAGAU